AGUGCGCAGCCUGGGUGGGGGCUCAGGACAAGGGGCUCUUAUGGAGCCCCUCGAGACCCCCAGGAGGUGGACACUGCCCCCAGCUCUUGGUGGAGCCCUUGGGCUGCAACAGCAGGAACUGAACCCCAGGGGCUUUGGGGUUAAGAGAAGAAUGUCUGGACGUUAGCGGCAAAAGCAGGCGGGUGGGGCAGUGAGCACAAGCGGGGGUGCCCCUGAUACUGGCUACCCCUCCACAUCUAUCUCUGUCCGGGUCUGCCUCUGUCCUCGGCACACGGCACGCGCUGCUCCGGGGGCGGCCGCGCCACAGGACUCGGAUCCAGGCCAGCAGCUGCCCAGCCCAAGGCUCCUUGCACCACCGUGUGAGCCACAUACUUUCCGGAUAGGAGAAGGUCCAGAAGGUGAAGUCUGCGCCCAGGACCUGCAGAGGUGAGAGGCCCGAAGCCUUCCCCGGAUGCACUCAUGACCGGGGCCUGGCCAGCAGGCGUCCGGGAGUCAGCGGCUGCUUGGGGAACCAGGGCCCCACUCACACGCGGGAAGGUGAUGGUGGCAGGCAGACUGGUAGCUGAGAGCGAAAGGUGUGGCGGGAUCCGCCUGGCUGCUGCUGGAGCCCCAGGCUCGUGAAUCGCCUCUGCGUCCCGUCCCCUGCGUUGGGCAGCUUCACCUGCUCAUCCUGCUCGGCCUGGGUGUUUCUGCUCCUAAGCGCCCCCCUCACGGUGGUC
rnacentral:lncRNA from 1 species